UACGAAGGGGGCUAGCGUUGUUCGGAGUUACUGGGCGUAAAGGGUGCGUAGGCCGCACGGUAAGUCAGAGGUGAAAUCCCGGAGCUCAACUCCGGAAUGGCCUCCGAUACUGCCGUGCUCGAGGACUGGAGAGGAGAUUGGAAUUCACAGUGGAGCAGUGAAAUGCGUAGAUAUUGUGAGGAACACUAGUGGCGAAGGCGAAUCUCUGGACAGUUCCUGACGCUGAGGCACGAAGGCCAGGGGAGCAAACGGG
rnacentral:rRNA from 1 species